CGGGCAAGUCCGCAGGGAUGCGGCUGGGGUCGUGGUUGAUGCUGCGGGAAGCGGGUGGGCGGGAGAGAGCAGGUUAAACAGGAGCAAGAGAUAAGAGAAUUAGACCUGGGAACAUACAGCCUCAGACACCUCUCAUUGCCUGGGAGCUUCUUGGAAAUGAAUUGGAAACAUCCUGAAUGAGCCUACAGUUUUACAAUCUCGCUGACUGACACACGGGCACAGCCAAGUAGGAACAAGCUGUGGCCUGAAGAAUCCUUACUGACUCUGUUGUCACAUUCCAGGGCUACACCCCUCAACACAGUAGCCGCCAGCUACAUAUGCCAACUUAAAUUUCAGUCUAUAGUCCUUUAGUCUCAUUAGCCACGUGGUUCAGUCGUCACAUGCCUACCACAGUGGACUUUAUUAAAGGACAUUCUGGCCAACAGUA